ACUGACUGGCUCAGCGUGUGCCUACCCUACGCCGGCAGGCGCGGGUAACCCGUUGAACCCCAUUCGUGAUGGGGAUUUGGGAUUGCAAUUAUUCCCCAUGAAC
rnacentral:ncRNA from 1 species